UUUUGUUAUUUUUAGUAGAGACGGGGUUUCACCAUGUUGACCAGGAUGGUCUCGAUCUCUUGGCCUCGUGAUCCACCCACCUCGGCCUCCCAAAGUGCUGGGAUUAUAGGCGUGAGCCACUGUGCCCGGCCAUGUCCCCUAAGGCGCUGGAGAAUGCUGGCGGCUGUGGAGUCAUGUGUUUGCGUGCAUGACAGGUGCCAGCCAGGGAGCCGUGGGCACACCACCCUGGGAAGCCAGCACCCACAGGCCAGGACUGCAGCGUGCAGGGAUGGAUCUCUGAAGGUCACUGCUCCGCCCUGCUCUGAAGACUGUCCACCAGCAUGUCAACGCAGCUGCCCUGCGGGGGUUGAAGGGUGGGAGGACUGUCAGUCAGGAUUAAGGCCAUCUCCCCCGCCCAUCACUCCUUCUGCCAAGCCAUCACCAGGCAGCCGGGACUCACGGGCAGUGUCACCUCCGGGGCCAUGCUGGCAUCUGUAACCUCCAUCCACCGUCAAGGUCCCAUCCAGCCAGCUCCGCCCACCUGCCUGGCCCAGUCUCUUGUGAAGUUUCACGCUCCUUCCUCUUGUGCAGAGUCGGAAUUCACAGGGGUCGCCAUGCCCACAGGUACCCCAGUGGAAGUGUUGACUCUUAUUACUGGCUAGACCCAUCCAGAGGACAAACCAGCUUCAGAUAAUGCCAUCGUUAAAGUAGGUGCCACUGGGGGGUUUCCGCACUUAACUCCCCGAUGCCGUCCCCGCCAUCAACCUGAUACAGACUCCGUCCCCUGCAAGAUCGCUUCCUCUCGAGUGCAGACCAGAUCCCCCAGGGAAGAGACUCCUCGUCCUCAUCGUUGCCAAGUGACCCCGAAUAUUCCUCUCCUGCCUGUUGCAGAAAGGAAAAGUCACGUUCUGGAAGAACAGCAUUGCCCUACAAAUACAGACGAGAGACUCUGCACCUAGAACAAGAGUCCCGGAAAUUUCCAGAAGCAAAUCUUGCACUUGUGACCAUCAGAUUCCACCUGACGCCUAAUGCACCUUCUCAAAUCUCAUCACGUGUGACAGCCGCAACACCCGGUCCAGCGGCCACAAAGGACUCUCCGCUGUGUUUCUUCUGCUUCCUUUAACGCAUGAGAGUGAAGAGAUGAGGAUGAAGGCGGGCCGAACACUGGUCUCUCUGAAUGCCCUGGACCGACAGCAGCCCUGGACGCCCACUCCCCAUCCUGUCCGUAUGCACCCUGGUGAGCGUUUUCUAGAAGCUCCCAUUGUUCCGUGUUUGUAGGUGUGAUGUGUGCCACCUCUGAGGCUGUCGUAGCUUCUGCCUCCUCUGUCUGCAGAGAGGCCACAAAGACAGAGCUGAGAAAUUAUGGCUAUCCCAGAAAAUAAAAUAUUUUUUGAAACCACACAGCACAGGUGUGGGUCUUUGUGUCACCGUGAAAACAGAACCCUGCAUACUGUUAGCUUGGUAGCAUUUGGAUGACAGACAGAGUAUUCACGGGCCCUGCAGAGAAGUACGGGUGGAAAUGCGUUUAUCACCUGAGCUUGGUACAGUCUGCUCUUGGUACUUUUUUUUUUUUUUUUUUUUUGAUGGGGUCUCGCUCUGUCGCUCAGGCUGGAGUUCAGUGGCACGAUAUCAGCUCACUGCAACCUCUGCAGCUGGGAUGACAAGCUCCCACUAUCACGCCUGGCUGAUUUUUGUAUUUUUAGUAGCGAUGGGGUUUCCCCAUGUUGGCCAGGCUGGUCCCAAACUCAUGACCUCAGGUGAUCCGCCCACCUCAACCUCCCAAAGUGCUGGGUUCCCAAAGUGUGAGCCGGGUGGCCUCUGGCUGCAUCUAUAGAAUGAGAUGCCUCUCAUAUGGUCUCCAUAGGUGUGGGAAGGGAUGCCUUCUAUUAAAAUAACCACUAAAAAGGCAGUGUCAGAGCUCCCAUGAUGAUUUUAACACCCAAGCUCUUCUGAGGUCGUUUUCCUAAAGGAGGUCUGCUUUCUCCAUGUCUGAGAACACAGAACAUAUUCUCACCCUGUACACAGAGGAGCACCGCACUUCACACUCGCGGGUCUCAGCUUUCCCUGGGCAGGGUCUCAACGUGGGAGCCCGAGCACAAGGCAGAAAAACCUGCCGUAAGAUUCACACAAGCACCUCCACCUGCUCCAGAACAGGGUCAAAGGCUAAGAGAAAAAGUCUGAAAAACCAUAUUUUAUAAGUACAAUCUUAAUUGCACUUGUGAUUAAAAAAUAAUAUGCUUUUGUUUUUGUUUUUUUGAGUCAGAGUCUCACUCUGUCACCCAGGCUGGAGUGCAGUGACGUGAUCUCUGCUCACUGCAACCUCCGCCCCCCGGGUUCAGGCGAUUCUCUUGUCUCAGUCUCCAGAGUAGCUGGGACUACAGGCGCGCGCCACCACGCCCGUGUAAUUUUGUAUUUUUUUUUCCUUUUUUAGUAGAGAUGGGGUUUCGGCAUGUUGGCCAGACUGGUCUCGAGCUCCUGACCUCAGGUAAUCUGCCCACGUCGGCCUCCCAAAGUGCUGGGAUUACAGGAGUGAGCAACCACAUCCGGUCAACUCAUGCCUUAAUAGACUUAUUUUAUUAUUAACCCCAAGAAGGAAAAUGUGGCAGACACAUGGCUAAGGGUUACUUUUCAUAUCUACACGGCGAAAGACCAAGAUGGCUGGGUGAGGUGCAUACAUUCCUCUGGAAAAGGGGCCUUUAUACUCUUGGGGUGACGGACGGCCUACAAUAAUUGUCUUUCAUCCGAGAGAACAUAGGAAGAUUUUCAAGAAGUGUGUGGGACACCGGGCGCAGUGGCUCAUGCCUGUAAUCCCAGCACUUUGGGAGGCCAAGGCUGGUGGAUCACAAGGUCAAGAGAUCGAGACCACCCUGGUCAACAUGGUGAAACCCCAUCUCUACUAAAAAUACAAAAAAUUAGCUGAGCGUGGUGGCGCGUGCCUGUAGUCCCAGCUACUCGGGAGGCUGAGGCAGGAGAAUUGCCUGAACCCAGGAGGUGGAGGUUCUGGUGAGCCGAGAUCGCGCCAUUGCACUCCAGCCUGGGUAACAAGAGCGAAACUCCGUCUCAAAAAAAAAAAAGAAGUGUGUGGGACUCAGCACAGUGGCUUAUGUGUAUGAUACCAACACUUUGGGAGGCCAAGGAGGGAGGAUCCCUUGAGCCAAGGAAGACCAUCCUGGGCAACACAGUGAGACCCCAUCUCUACUAAAAAUGUAAAACGUUAACCAGGAGUGGUGGUGUGCGCCUGUAGUCCGGUCAACCCAAGAGGCUAAGGUGGGAGGAUUACUUGAGCCUGGGAGGCCAAGGCUGCAGGGAGCUUUGCCCCCACCACCGUAGUGCAGCCGGGGUCACACACCAACACCAAAAAUAAAAAGAAGAAAAGAAAAGUGGCGGGCUUGGUGUAGUGAGGGGCACAAGCAUUGGUGGGGAGAGCUCUAGAGGAAGGCAGAGCUUCCUGAUGGGUUGAAGACAGUCCUAAGACACAUGCAGACUCGGGGUGUGCACUGACUUUCAACACUGCCAUGCAGACUACAUCUCUCUCCUGCUUGUCUGCGGGUAUAAUAGAAGGCGAGAAGCCCCUUUUUAUUACUAUCAUUGUACUUUAAGUUCUGGGGCACACGUGCGGAACACGCAGCUUUGUUACACAGGUACGCAUGUGCCAUGGUGGUUUGCUGCAUCCAUCACCCUGUCAUCUACAUUAGGUAUUUCUCCUAAUGCUCUCCCUCCCCUGGCCCCCUAGCCGAGAGACAGGCCCCGGUGUGUGAUAUUCCCCUCCCUGUGUCCGUGUGUUCUCAUUGUUCAACGCCCACUCAUGAGUGAGAACAUGCGGUGUUUGGUUUUCUGUUCUUGUGUCAGUUUGCUAAGAAUGCUGGUUUCCAGCUUCAUCCAUGUCCCUGCAAAGGACAUGAACUCAUUCUUUUUGAUGGCUGCAUAGUAUUCCAUGGUGUCUCUGUGCCACAUUUUCUUUAUCCAGUCUAUCAUUGAUGAGCAUUUGGCUUGGUUCCAAGUCUUUGCUAUCGUGAACAGAGCCACAAUAAACAUAUGUGUGCAUGUGUCUUUAUAAAAGAAUGAUUAGAAGCUCCUCUCAAUGGAAGGGGUCAGAGCUCCUCCAGUAUGAAAAUGUGGACAAAGAGCAUACGUAGUGUGGAUCUAAAAUUGGGUCACUUUGACUUACAGCCCACUUUGGGCGCAUAAUUGAUGGCUAACACGACCUGAGCCAAUUCCUUAACCUUUGCCUCCCGAAGGUAACCAAUCUGAAAAAUGAUGAGAACACCCCGUAUAAUGCCUACCACAACGCACUAUUUCUACAUGCAUUUCACAUAGAAAUAUGUGAAUAUGAACCAAGCAUGGGGGCUGACUCUUGUAAUCCCAGCACUUUGGGAGGCUGAGGCAGGCAGAUCACUUGAGGUCAGGGGUUGGAGACCAGUCUGGCCAACAUGGUGAAACCCAUGUCUACUAAAAAUACAAACAAACAAACAAACCUGGACGCGGUGGCACAGGCCUGUAGUUCCAGCUACUUCGAAGGCUGAGGCAGAAGAAUCAGUUGAACUCAGGAGGCGGAGGUUGCAGUCAGCUGAGAUCACGCCAGUGCACUCCAGCCUGGGCAACAAAUGGAGUGAGACUCUGUCUCGAUAAUAAUAAUAAUAAAAUAUGUAUUAAUACAUGCAGAACGUGUUUAAAAGUUUCUGCCACGGUACAAGCCCGGGAUGCUUGCAGCCAUUACCGUUGCCAUUAUUCUGAAUAUUCACCAAAGAACAAAGUGGGAAAAAAUAGAUGUGUGUGACCUUAAGUGCGAAUCUUCUUGAAUUAAGCGGGCAGGAUUCUCUAAGUCACAGCUGCAACUCUAUCCUUGAAUGCUUCGUAAGAAGAUGAGAAUUUACACUCCUCUUUGAAAACUCCUGUCUUUCUGAAAAGGGCCUUGAACCUUGUGUAAAACUCUGAAUGGCAAAGGUAUUUCUUUUUAAUUAAGAAGGCUUCUUGAAGAUUCACGCUGUGUCUUUUGCAGCAGCUGUGAAGGAUGGUGUGCGUGUCAACUGGAUCAGAUUGAACCACGCAAAAUAUCGAUGCUGGCUGUGUCUGUGAGGGGGUUGCCACAGGAGAUGAACAGCUGAGUCAGGGGCUGGGAAAGCCACAACCACCCUCAGUCUGGGUGGGCACCAUCUCAUUAGCGGCCAGCUCGGCUAGAAUAUAAGCAGGUAGAAAAUGUGCAGAGGGAGACUGGCCUCGCCUCUCAGCCUCCAUCUUCCUCCCAUGCUGGAGGCUCCCUGCCCUCUGACAUCAGACUCCAGAUUCUUCGGUUUUGGGAUAUGGGCUUGCUGUCCUUGCUCCUCACCCUGCAGACGGACUACUAUGGGACCCUGUGAUUGUAACCCUGACUGGUGCAGAUGGGAAGACAGAUGUAUCUGAGAUUGAUCUAAAAAACUCUGAAUAUGAAUGGAAAACCUACACAAAGUUGGGCAUGGCUUAUCUCUUCCAUGAGCAGCCCUGCUGAGACCCACUGGUUUUGGUGUCUCCAAUCAGUAUCCUUCCUGUAAUUUUAUGAUAUGACCACAGCAAAAAGAAACUGUGAAGGCAAUUAUUGUUCGCAGCUGUUUUAUGCCCUGUUGGGAGUUUGGAGAAAAAUGUUUACAAUCAAGUACUCUUGGAGAAUCCUUUAUUUGUUUGUUUGUGUCUGAUUAGGAGACAGGGUCUCACUCUGUCACGCAGCCUGAAUGACAUCA